UUGCACAAGGAAGCCCAGAUGGUCAUGGAAACACCAAAUACAAACCAAAGGGCCCAAGAAAUUUUCUCAGAGGAUUGAAAGCAGAACUAAAUGUUCUAGGAGACCCCCAAAAUGAGAGCUUAUAUGAGAGAUCAGACAACAGAAAAAGGCUCUGGGGAUUAUGGUAACAUUUUACCAUCUAGAAAAUUCUAAAGGGACUUUUACCUUCUAGUUUGCUGCUGAUGAGUCCUGUUGGCUAAAGUCAACCAAAAGCUGGAGAGAAAAGGAGUCCAGGGGAUGCAGUCUAUAGAGAUAGCCUCUCUGGGUACAGAGCAGGGCCCAGAAAGUCCGAGUAUGGACCAGAGAGCAAUCGAACAUCACCAGCACUGUAGGGUGGCUGCCAGAAAUCAACCCGAUGUGUUACUGUCCAAGUACAAGAGAAGUCUAUUUAUUCCUCAGGACAUCAGCAGUGUUGGCAACCUACCAUCAGAAGAAAAAUGGCACCAGAGUGCACCUGUGGAAGAUAUCUUAUGGGCCAUGCCUAGAUUGACAAGUAUCAUUCAUACUCACAUUUAUUUAUGGGAAAUUUGAUUAUAUUUCCACAACAAACUACAAGGGAUGCGAGGCAGUGGAGAGUCAUUUGUGCCCCAAAGAGGAGGAUCAUUCCAUAAACAGCUAAUAACCGGGAGAGGGUGCUAUGUAACCCAGCAUUCCAAGUCCUCUGAAAAAUCAUUUUUCAACAUCUUGGACUAGGAACUCUGAGAGUGAAAUGAUGGUGAGUUAAAAACACUAGACCCACUCCCAACCCUACAUAACAAGAGAAAACUCUCAACUGGAUGUCCAGCCCCUGAGCACAUGGGAGCAAAAGUCAUGAGGUGGUGACUAUUUCACUUUACGCUCCAAAUUGAUACGCAGUGCCCAUAUUUCUGUCACCACUGAGUCUGUCAGUGUUAACAUAUUCUUACCCCUGUCCUGUGGAUUACUUCUGUACUGAGCUUCAAAAGUUAACUUCACCCACAAUCUAUCUCAGUCUCAAGGACCCUGUCUGCUACAUCCAACAUCCUGUGGGAUUGGUCUCAAAUGCUGGGACUGGAAGCUAGUUGCAGUCCUCAGGAUCAAGUGAUUAGCCCAUUAAACAUCCAGCUUUGAGACACCAACCAGAAAUUGACAUGACACAUUAGACCUUGAAAUCUUGAUGGAUGCUUUUCCCUCAAUGACCAUGAGCCUCAAACCAUCAUAGAAGCUGUGAUAUUAGGUGGGGGGCUGGAUAAUGCACCAGAACAUACUGCACUGUUUGAA